rnacentral:lncRNA from 1 species
UCGGAAUUUCCCGACCGAAAACCGACGAUUAUUCUAUUUGUCUCUUUUUUCCUACAGAUUUCCGACAAAAGAGUGCAUAGGGUUUCAAAACAUCAAUAUAAUGCUCUAAUACAAAACUCUUAUAAUAAACAGAUGGUUUUAAGAAGAUUAACUAAAAAAAAUUGGUUUAACUCGAUAUUAUACAAAUUAAAUAUGUAUGAUUAUAUUUUGGAAUAUGUUUGUUGUUUAAGUGUAUAAGUGUUAAUGAAAGAUGUUAUGAAUAAGUUGAUAUAUGUACAUAUAGAGUUUUUACAAUUGAAAAACUUAAAUCGUUCUGAACAUUAUAUUACACACUUGAUAUGUGUUAUUUGGUAUUUUAGUAUCCAUUUUUACAUUUUAUAUGAAUUAGUUGUAUUUAAAACUACAUUUCGUCGGAAAACAGUCAGUAAUUUCCGACGAAAUUCCGACAACGUCUUGAGCUUCGUUGGAAUUUCGUCAGAAAUUUCUGACGGAAUACCGACGAUGUUUUAAUUUCGUCCU